rnacentral:lncRNA from 1 species
GAAGCGUGAAGUCUUAUAGAAAAUAAAAUAAACAUGUCAGUCGAGGCUAAGAUAGCCUCGGUAGGGAUAACAUGACGCACUUAUGCAUCAAUGGUCCUACUGGUAGACCAUAAUCAAAAUAGGUUGAAGAUAGAUUUGGCUACACCUAGAUAUCUGAGAAUGUCAUGCGUCCACACACUAAAGUAAGAACCACGUACGGAUCCAAUAGUCAUGUGGAUAACCUACAAGGAAUCGAAAAAUCUUUUGCUGUUAAAAACUGUCAACGAUUAAUGAACAGCCAAUUUUAUGAUCUACAUGGAGUCGAGGAAUGUAGAGUGACAGAUGGUGCCCAAAGGGAUCUCAACGGCGAUGAAGGUGACAUGGUAGUUUUACCUAGGUUCAGGUCCACGGAUGAGUAAUAGCCCUACGUCUUACAUAUAUGUCUUUAUUGUUGAGAGGAUUACAAUGGUCAUGAACUUGUAGGUUAACUCCAUAUCAGACACACAAUAUGCAUGAACAUUGAAAAAGGAUACUACUAAGUAGUAGAAUAGAAGGGGAUAAUUAAAUGACCAAUUGAACAUGUCAUCAAUUCACACAAUUGACCAUAUAACUAUAUUAGAACACACAAAAAAAAUGAAAAGGGGGGGAAGGCCCCGGCCUCUGCAUCAUCAAGAUGGACACAUCCAAAUAAAACAGAUAUGACAAGUUCACACAUACCUGGGCAUUUGUAAGUAAAUUUUGGUGCUCCAGAAAAUAAUACACCUAACGACCACCAAUGCUAGACCAUCAGGAGCUGAUGAAGAUUUACCAAUUUCCUCGUCCCCUUUUCUUUUUAAAAAUGACUGCAUUGACUCUGCUGUUUCCCCAUUGCUUCCUAAAUAAAGAAAAUGCACAAAUCAUCCAGAUUUCAAUCAAUUAAACAAUGGGUGUACACCACUGGGGUUCGACAUCGAAAUUUAGUCAAUCAUCUUGGGCGCUUGCACUAAUCAGAAAAAUAAGACAACCCGGGGCCAGUGGCGGAGGACGAAACUUUUUUGAGGUGGGGCGAACUCUUAAGCAAUUUUUUUAAUGCAAAACCAACAUAGAUAUAGAAUUGCUUUGCAUUAUAUUUUUCAUAGCAAACUUUCCAUCUACACGCUCUUGUUUGAAAGAAUCCUUCAUUUUAUUUUCUAAUGCAACCAAAUAAACUACUCCCUCCGUCCCACAGUGUGUAGUGUCAAAAAAACGUCUUACAUUAUGGGACGGAGUAGUAAAAUCUUUUAGGAUUCGAAAUAGAGUGGCAUUGCAAUCUUAUACUUUUUUUUCUUCUUCUACUCCUUCUUUUUUAAAUCCUGCGGAUUAAAGAAGCCCUUAGCAAUUUGAUAGUCAGCACACCGAUCUUUAGGCAUUUAACUAACGGUUCAGAGAAGAUUCACGGGAGCACAACAUGGGUGUUUCACUCGAGAAAGCUUCUCCUAAAAACAAAGAACAUCAGCAAGAGCCUGAUAUGCGCUGAACUCGCUAAUCAAUCACCACGGCUAGCCGGGGCACUAAUCAGAAAAACAAGACAACUCGGGCGCGGGCACUAAUCAGAAAAAUAGGACGUGGUUACUGUACUGAACAUACCUAACCAAAACCAAG